GUGCCAUCGGCACAAUCCGAUGCAAAAACUGCAAACUGGGUCCACCGUCAACCACAACGGCACCCGACAGUCCGGAACAGUCUAUACACUACUGUAAAUAUAAACUCGGCAUCCCAAUAUGAGCAUAAAUUUAUUCUACACCAUCCUGGGUAUCCAUCGCCCACAAACUGCAGCGAUACAAUACAAACUACGGCUCCUAGAGCUAGAUCGGAUAGUUUGAGAAAAUGACGGUGUAGAAUCGAUAGUUUUCUUCUAAGUCAAGUUCCAAGUCCAACUGUAUAAUUUUUCUAAAUCACUACUGUAUGCUCUAAAUUUAUAUUUCAAUUAACAUGCAUAUCAAUGAAUUCGAGCUAAAUAACAUGAUAUACAAAGACUAAAAAAUAUACAUGCUGACAUCAACUAGGCUUAGGAGGAAAUCCGUAAAAUUCGGUAAACAUAUCAUUAACCCACCUCAAGCACGAAUCCGACCAA
rnacentral:lncRNA from 1 species